UAUCUGUGCUUCAUUGUUGUCCAUCUCUGAAAAUGGAGAUGGGGAAAAUAGAAGCACAGAUAGGACCAGAGAUGAGCAGCCCAGGCACUCAUAUGAAUUCCUGCCUGGUGUGGGCAGAUGUGAGAAGAGGACAAAAGGAGAGUCUGAGUAAAUGUGUCAUUGAGUGAAGGAAAGCAAGAUUCUGAAUCCAGGACAGGAAGUGGGAAUUGUUCGCUUCCCCAACAGCAGCAUGGCUGACUUUGUAUGGAGAACAACUCACAUACCCCCAGCGCCGAGAAGAGUCUAGCCGGGAUGCCUAGGCCUUUUGUCGCCAUGCAAUCAGAAAGCAACAGAAAAAGAAAAUAAAAUGGAUGAUGUAAAAUAUCUAAAGUAAAACAGAUUUCUCCACCAAUUCAAUUGUUCUGAAAUAAAAAUACUAUCUUA